GACCAGCCACACUGGAACUGAGACACGGUCCACACUCCUACGGGAGGCAGCCAGUGGGGAAUAUUGCACAAUGGGCGCAAGCCUGAUGCACCCAUGCCGCGUGUGUGAAAAAAGCCUUCUGGUUGUAAAGCACUUUCACCGAGGAGGAAGAGGUACAGUGUUAAUAGCACAUUGCAUUGACGUUACUCGCAGAAAAAACACCGGCUAACUCCGUGCCAGCAGCCGCGGUAAUACAGAGGGUGCAAGCGUUAAUCUGAAUUACUGGGCGUAAAGCGCACGCACGCGGUUUGUUAAGUCACAUGUGAAAUCCCCGCGCUUAACGUGGGAACUGCAUUUGAAACUGGCAAGCUAUAGUCUUGUAGAGGGGGGUAGAAUUCCACGUGUAGCGGUGAAAUGCGUAUAGAUCUGGAGGAAUACCCGUGGCGAAAGCGGCCCCCUGGACAAAGACUGACACUCACGUGCGAAAGCGUGUGGAGCAAACACGAUUAUAUACCCUGGUAUUCCACGCUGUAUACAAUGUCUACUUGUAGGUUGUGCCCUUGAGGCGUGGCUUCCGGAGCUAACACGUUUAGUCUACACCCUGGGGAGUACCGCCCCACGGUUAAAACUCUCAUGUAUUGACGGGGGCCCGCACAAACGGUGGAGCAUGUGGUUUAAUUCUAUGCACCGCGAAGAACCUUACCUACUCUUGACAUCCCCAGAAUUCGCUCGAGAUAGCUUAUUGCCUUCGGGAACUCUGAGACAGGUGCUGCAUGGCUGUCGUCAGCUCGUGUUGUGAAAUGUUGGGUUAAGUCCCGCAACGAGCGCAACCCUUAUCCUUUGUUGCCAGCACGUAAUGGUGGGAACUCAAAGGAGACUGCCGGUGAUAAACCGGAGG
rnacentral:rRNA from 1 species